GAUGAACGCUGGCGGCGUGCCUAAUACAUGCAAGUCGAGCGAACAGAUGAGGAGCUUGCUCCUCUGACGUUAGCGGCGGACGGGUGAGUAACACGUGGAUAACCUACCUAUAAGACUGGGAUAACUUCGGGAAACCGGAGCUAAUACCGGAUAAUAUAUUGAACCGCAUGGUUCAAUAGUGAAAGACGGUUUUGCUGUCACUUAUAGAUGGAUCCGCGCCGCAUUAGCUAGUUGGUAAGGUAACGGCUUACCAAGGCAACGAUGCGUAGCCGACCUGAGAGGGUGAUCGGCCACACUGGAACUGAGACACGGUCCAGACUCCUACGGGAGGCAGCAGUAGGGAAUCUUCCGCAAUGGGCGAAAGCUUGACGGAGCAACGCCGCGUGAGUGAUGAAGGUCUUCGGAUCGUAAAACUCUGUUAUUAGGGAAGAACAAAUGUGUAAGUAACUAUGCACGUCUUGACGGUACCUAAUCAGAAAGCCACGGCUAACUACAUG
rnacentral:rRNA from 1 species